rnacentral:rRNA from 1 species
GACGAACGCUGGCGGCGUGCUUAACACAUGCAAGUCGAACGGAAAGGCCCUGCUUUUGUGGGGUGCUCGAGUGGCGAACGGGUGAGUAACACGUGAGUAACCUGCCCUUGACUUUGGGAUAACUUCAGGAAACUGGGGCUAAUACCGGAUAGGAGCUCCUGCUGCAUGGUGGGGGUUGGAAAGUUUCGGCGGUUGGGGAUGGACUCGCGGCUUAUCAGCUUGUUGGUGGGGUAGUGGCUUACCAAGGCUUUGACGGGUGGCCGGCCUGGGAGGGUGACCGGCCACAUUGGGACUGGGGUACGGCCCAGACUCCUACGGGAGGCAGCGGUGGGGAAUAUUGCACAAUGGGCCGAAGCCUGAGGCAACAACGCCGCGUGCGGGAAGAAGGCCUUCGGGUUGGAAACCGCUUUCGGCUUUGACGAAGCGUGAGUGACGGUAAUGGGUAAAUAAGCACCGGCUAACUACGUG